GAUGAAGAACGCAGCGAAAUGCGAUAAGUAAUGCGAAUUGCAGAAUUCCGUGAGUCAUCGAAUCUUUGAACGCACAUUGCGCCCGCCAGUAUUCUGGCGGGCAUGCCUGUUCGAGCGUCAUUACAACCCUCAGGCCCCCGGGCCUGGCGUUGGGGAUCGGCGGAAGCCCCCUGCGGGCACAACGCCGUCCCCCAAAUACAGUGGCGGUCCCGCCGCAGCUUCCAUUGCGUAGUAGCUAACACCUCGCAACUGGAGAGCGGCGCGGCCACGCCGUAAAACACCCAACUUCUGAAUGUUGACCUCGAAUCAGGUAGGAAUACCCGCUGAACUUAAGCAUAUCAAUAAGCGGAGGA
rnacentral:misc_RNA from 1 species